rnacentral:rRNA from 1 species
UUCCAGACUCCUACGGGAGGCAGCAGUGGGGAAUAUUGCACAAUGGGGGAAACCCUGAUGCAGCAACGCCGCGUGAGUGAAGAAGUAUUUCGGUAUGUAAAGCUCUAUCAGCAGGGAAGAAGAAAGACGGUACCUGACUAAGAAGCCCCGGCUAACUACGUGCCAGCAGCCGCGGUAAUACGUAGGGGGCAAGCGUUAUCCGGAUUUACUGGGUGUAAAGGGAGCGUAGACGGCGAUGCAAGCCAGAUGUGAAAGCCCGGGGCUCAACCCCGGGACUGCAUUUGGAACUGUGUGGCUGGAGUGUCGGAGAGGCAGGCGGAAUUCCUAGUGUAGCGGUGAAAUGCGUAGAUAUUAGGAGGAACACCAGUGGCGAAGGCGGCCUGCUGGACGAUGACUGACGUUGAGGCUCGAAAGCGUGGGGAGCAAACAGGAUUAGAUACCCGCGUAC